UAGGGAAUAUUAGAAAUGGACGAAAGUCUGAUCUAGCAACACCGCGUGUGCGAAGAAGGCCUUCGGGUCGUAAAGCACUUUUUGGAAGGAAUAGGAAGGAAUGUACUUCCAGAAUAAGUCUCGGCUAACUACGUGCCAGCAGCCGCGGUAACACGUAGGAGGCAAACGUUAUCUGGAUUUACUGGGCGUAAAGCGCGUGUAGGUGGUACUGUAAGUAGGGCGUGAAAGCUCCUGGCUCAACUGGGAGAGGCCGAUCUAAACUACAGAACUAGAGGAUGGUAGAGGGAGGUGGAAGUCCAGGUGUAGCGUUGGAAUGCGCAGAUAUCUGGAGGAACACCGGUGGCGAAGGCGGCCUCCUGGACCAUUCCUGACACUCAGACGCGAAAGCUAGGGUAGCAAACG
rnacentral:rRNA from 1 species